rnacentral:rRNA from 1 species
UGGGGAAUAUUGCACAAUGGGCGCAAGCCUGAUGCAGCCAUGCCGCGUGUGUGAAGAAGGCCUUCGGGUUGUAAAGCACUUUCAGUCGUGAGGAAGGCGGGUACGUUAAUAGCGUAUUCGUUUGACGUUAGCGACAGAAGAAGCACCGGCUAACUCCG